rnacentral:rRNA from 1 species
UACGUAGGGUGCGAGCGUUAAUCGGAAUUACUGGGCGUAAAGCGUGCGCAGGCGGUGAUGUAAGACAGAUGUGAAAAUCCCCGGGGCUCAACCUGGGAACUGCAUUUGUGACUGCAUCGCUGGAGUGCGGCAGAGGGGGGAUGGAAUUCCGCGUGUAGCAGUGAAAUGCGUAGAUAUGCGGAGGAACACCGAUGGCGAAGGCAAUCCCCUGGGCCUGUACUGACGCUCAUGCACGAAAGCGUGGGGAGCAAACAGGA